rnacentral:rRNA from 1 species
GUGGGGAAUAUUGGACAAUGGGCGAAAGCCUGAUCCAGCCAUGCCGCGUGAGUGAUGAAGGCCUUCGGGUCGUAAAGCUCUGUUGCAGGGGAAUAAAAAAAUGAAGGUACCCUGUGAGGAAGGAUCGGCUAACUUCGUGCCAGCAGCCGCGGUAAGACGAGGGAUCCUAGCGUUGCUCGGAAUCAUUGGGCGUAAAGAGGGCGUAGGUGGCUUGGUAAGUCAGGUGUGAAAGCCCAGGGCUCAACCCUGGAAGUGCAUUUGAUACUGCUGAGCUUGAGUGUCGGAGAGGUUACCGGAAUACCUGGUGUAGUGGUGAAAUACGUAGAUAUCAGGUGGAACACCGGAGGCGAAGGCGGGUAACUGGACGAACACUGACACUGAGGCCCGAAAGCGUGGGGAUCAAACAGGAUUAGAAACCCUGGUAGUCC